rnacentral:tRNA from 1 species
GGAGGUAUAGCUCAGUGGUAGAGUGCAUGCUUAGCAUGCAUGAGGUACUGGGUUCAAUCCCCAGUACCUCCA